GCCAGGCGUGGUGGCACAUGUCUGUAGUCCCAGCUACUCAGAAGGCUAAGACCGGAGGAUCGCUUGAGUCCAGGAGUUCUGGGCUGUAGUGCGCUAUGCCGAUUGGGUGUCCGCACUAAGUUCGGCAUCAAUAUGGUGACCUCCCGGGAGCAGGGACCACCAGGUUGCCUAAGAAGGGGUGAACCAGCCCAGGUCAGAAACGGAGCAGGUCAAAACUCCCGUGCUGAUCAGUAGUAGGAUCACACCUGUUAGUAGCCACUGCACUCCAGCCUGGGCAACAUAGCGAGACCCCAUCUCU
rnacentral:SRP_RNA from 1 species